CUCUCUCUAGCUGGCUCUCCAGCGGCUUGACCAACAGCGAGUUGUUAUUCAGCGUCACUUCACCGCUGGCGUUAACCAGCUCACCGUCCAACGGAAUAUUCAGAUGUAAGCGCCCACUUACAUUGCCACCCACCUGCAGCUCAUCUAAUGCCGCCCCGACAGAGUCAUCCAGUGGGGUCUGCAUGAAAUAGUCGUGGAUAGCUUGCCCGGUCCCCGCAACGUCGGCAUCAAUCAACAGGCGUUGUUUGCUAUAGUCCGGAAUGACGGCGCUAAUGUUUCUGCCCGUCGCAUUGCCCAGUUUGGUUUGCGGCGCAUUCAUCCACAGGCCAUUGUUGGCAAAGUCGAGGUCGAUCGCCAGAUCGUCCAGCGCUGGCCAUUCCGGCUGGAACUGGAAGGUAGCAUGGCGUAGUGGGACA
rnacentral:ncRNA from 1 species